GUGGGGAAUAUUGGACAAUGGGCGCAAGCCUGAUCCAGCCAUGCCGCGUGUGUGAAGAAGGCCUUCGGGUUGUAAAGCACUUUUGUCCGGGAAGAAAUCUUCCAGGUUAAUACCCUGGGAGGCUGACGGUACCGGAAGAAUAAGCACCGGCUAACUUCGUGCCAGCAGCCGCGGUAAUACGAAGGGUGCAAGCGUUACUCGGAAUUACUGGGCGUAAAGCGUGCGUAGGUGGUUCGUUAAGUCUGCCGUGAAAGCCCCGGGCUCAACCUGGGAAUGGCGGUGGAUACUGGCGGGCUAGAGUGCGGUAGAGGGUGGUGGAAUUCCCGGUGUAGCAGUGAAAUGCGUAGAGAUCGGGAGGAACAUCUGUGGCGAAGGCGACCACCUGGACUGAUACUGACACUGAGGUGCGAAAGCGUGGGGAGCAAACAGGAUUAGAAACCCUUGUAGUCC
rnacentral:rRNA from 1 species